rnacentral:rRNA from 1 species
UACGGGGGGGGCAAGCGUUGUUCAGAAUUACUGGGCGUAAAGGGCGCGUAGGCGGCCUUCUAAGUCGAACGUGAAAUCCCCGGGCUCAACCCAGGAACUGCGUCCGAUACUGGUUGGCUUGAAUCCGGGAGAGGGAUGUGGAAUUCCAGGUGUAGCGGUGAAAUGCGUAGAUAUCUGGAGGAACACCGGUGGCGAAGGCGACAUCCUGGACCGGUAUUGACGCUGAGGCGCGAAAGCCAGGGGAGCAAACGGG